CUUCCUUGGCGACUACGUAGGGAUAUCGAAAACGUCGAGAAGAUUGACCAAAGAGAAGUCCGACGCCAUUGCCUGCUUCGCGUCAUGUGUCGUUCAACGUCGCGCCCGUUUGCCUCUCAACAGUGUUCCACUGAGUUUGACGCUGCAUAUUCUAGCUCAAUGUUCGCGGCGGUGCGCCUCGUGCAUGCAGCGUUGUCAUCGCCUUGACUCCAUGUUCGGCCUGCAGGUCGGCGUUAUGGUUGUCAAUUCUUGUGCUCAUCAACAUCAGCAGCAAGAUUGCAAGCUAACAUGCAUUAGUUAUUUUCGCAACAUACAGUGUCAACGUUUCCUAAAAUGCGAUAACAAUGGCUUUAUUCCACCUGGAAAGUACACCAUGGAUAUGCCCGACAAAUGAAAGGAACCUAGGCUCAGUCAAGGACAAUGCUGAGAAACUCUACAUGCUGAUUCAACUAAUGGAAAUGCUUCUAACAGGCUGGCCUCAACCAUAUCUCUAAAAGAGGAAGAAUUGGAGCACAAAGGAGAAACAAACCUUUGGCACGUUAGCCUCCGGCCAAAAGCACCUCAAGGAACUGCAUCUCACAUGUUGCACCGUUGCUGCGACAGUACCCUUUCAAUACAUUGUGGAACAGGACCAAGUCUCUGGGAUACACGUACGAUGUCAUAAUACCUCUUAUUGGAGUGGGGAAUGAUUUGCCAAGCCAAUGCAAUUGCCAGCAUGCUGCUGCAAUGUUAGGUUUCCUGAAGCCAUCCCCACCAGUGUCCUGCAGUAAAGUGGCUAAUUGAAAAUAAGGCAUCAGUCUUGUGCUAUGCGGUGAAUUAGUGUCUUGAGAAAUUCUGAAAAGAUUGUGCCGAAAGUGCAGUGCUGUGGCUGAAUGGAAGAAGUGGGUGCCUUUUAUUGUGCUGUGAAAGUGAGUACCAAUAGUAUAGCCCAUAAAAGUGUAGGGCUGUAAGCAGUAAAUGGUUGGUGUGGUGACACAAGUCUGCUCUGCUUUUGUGCAAGUGUGUGAGUGUGUGUGUGCACAUUUGUGUGGUGCAUCCUCAAGUUAAUAAAUUUAGUGUCAUUGGCCUUGCCUCGUGCAGUGCUACAUCUCUCACAAUAAGUGUUCACCUCGGCCAGUGUUUUGAAGAUUUGUCAAGCCACCAAGAUGAUCUACACUGUCCAACAGCCGUUUCUUGUCCAGCUGAUCCACAAAGUAGUGCUUCCCUGUGUGCUGUGUGCCAAGUAGACGUCAGCAAUUGUGCAGUGAAAGUAAUUUGUGAAAGUGGUUUGCCCAAGGGUAUAUAAGUAUAUGUGUGUGAGUAAAGUUACAAGAUUUCUACAGUUUUCAUCUCGUCAGUGGUGCGGGGCUGUUUCAAAGUGAUGUGCAGUGUGAUAUGUGAAGUGAACAGUGUGGUGAGAGUGCAGUACCAUGUGUAAUGUGGUUUCAAGGUGUACACUCCUAGUGAGUAGGCAGUUAACACCGAGUGUGUAGGAGGUGAAGUGUGUCAGGCUCAUGUCUGACGUCACCACCAUAUUUAGCAAUGAGUCAUGAAGAAAUCGUGAAAGUCUACAAAGGUUCAAGGCAAAUGUGCUUGCAGCUAUCGUGCACCUCCAUGGAGAGCUUCAUAGGAUUAAUGUGCGAUCAAGUAUGCACGAUCAAGUAUGCCAAACUGGUUCAACAUGCUGAUGCAGGUUGGUUGUAGCUAUGGUGUUUUGAAUGAGUCGCAGCAUUCACAAGGAAAGGCUGACCAGCUGUGUUAAGAGGGUGCACCAUUAUUAUGCUUCUUGCAGGUGGAACUUUCUCCUCUGAGCUCUGCUGGAGUUCCUCUAGCAUGUGCAAAUAUUCAAGGCACUUAAACGCAUUGUUGUCUCAAUCAGCAUUGAAGCACAAAAUACCUACGUUCUAACCAGCAGUGAUAAAAUACAGCCAACUUUCUACUAUACAGUAGAAAAUUGGUCACAGUGCACAUAGGUGAGUCUUGCAGGGUUUGAUGUUUGUUGUGGGUUGACUUGAAGGUAUGAAAGCAAAUUAAUUAUGCAUUUGCUUAAAUUCCUUAACCAGCUUUGGGAUCAAGCUGCUGCCUGAAAAUGGAUCCAUCAUGGCAGGAAAAUCCUGUGUUUGGUUUAUUAAUGUCACAGGUGUGUCCAGCACGGUGAGUAUCUAGGUUUAGGUGCCAUCUCACAUUGUCUUUCAAGCUGCAGUUUGCACUGUUCUUAGAAAUGUCUGCUUUGUGGUUCAGUUGACAUAAAACUUAUUUGUGCAUGAAACUGCUUGGUGACAGUAUUACAUUGUCAGUUCAGAGGAUUUCUAUUUGAAAGUCCAAAAUAAGGGUACUGUGCAAACAUAUCAGAAUGUCUCGUAUAUACUAUAUUUAAAGCAGCUAUACAUUUUAACUCGCUUUGUUAAUUUUACUGCUGUAGUUCACAGUCAGCCUUAUGAAUAUAUGUAUAAAUCUGCAUAUAACUUCUUGGAGAGACACAAAGCUCAUUCACAAAUUCAUUAGAAAUUAGUGUAGCUUAAUCAGUUCUUCUGUAGUGUGCAUAUUUGGUGGUGGUGUUACAACCAUUAUUGCAUAUAUAUGUUGAAGUGCUUCCAGAUUGUUGCUGGCUGUGGUUAGACCAGUGCUCCCACAGCAAUGUAUUUAUCACUCGGUGAUUGGUGCCUGUACAGUAUAUGCAGUAUGUGCGGUGCACCUUGCAUCUGUUGGAUUCUAGCUGGUAAUCUGCCUGGCCUUUUCUGAUCGUGAGUACUCCAAUCACCUUAUUGCUAUUCCACAACAUGCAUGCACUACCAUACAAGCAUGACCAUGCACUAAUGAAACGACUCUAAUUAAACGACUCUAAAAAUUAAACGACUCUAAUUUCUUCAAACUAUUUCCAGCACAUAUAAGCCUCUCAAUGUGGUGAACCACUGAAAGUUGAGCAAAAUGGUACAAAACUAUGUUUGCCACAUUUAGCUAAACAUAUAGUCAAAAACUUGAUUUGUAUGCAUUCACUGGAAAUAGAACAAAAUUUAUAAAUUAUUAAACAGCUGUGAGUAUCAUUUCACAUAAUCUCUGAUCCGAUUUGAACAUGGAAGAUAUACGGAUUAAUAAUCAUGUAGUUGGCUGGUUGAAUCUUGUGGACCAGAACACUGUAUCCUUGUAUAACUAUAACAUGCAUUCUUGAUUACUACAGAGUACCAGAAACCUCCUAGUAGGCUACAUCAAAGGGUGUGCAAUAGGCUCAACUGAGGUAUGGAAAGGUAAGUUAAGAGCUUUGACUGGCACCAACCACAACAUUCCAAAAUAACUUUUAUAUUGUGAUGGGGAGUAUUUAGACAGCAGUCGCUGAUCGGCACUAGUUGAACUACUCAGCACAAAAGCACAGGCUUCAAACAGUUGAGCAUUCAAUCAGACCCAAAUCAUCAUCUUUAUCGCUCUUUGAGCAGCAUAGCGAUGGUCUUAGUAGCUGUGACAAUUUUUGUUGAAGAAGGUUAUUUACUGGAUGAUGAUGUAUUAAAGGAACAGUAGCAGUGCUACCAUUCAGGUUUGUGCCAGGAGCACUUUUUUAAUCUCAUGUGCAGUGAAUUCCAAUUACAAUAAUACUCAUAUAACCAGCUAAAUUCACAAGGUUUUAAUUUAUUAAUUUACUAUACCGCAUUUCGAUGGGGGCGAAAUGCGAAAACACCUGUGUACUUAGAUUUAGGUGCACGUUAAAGAACCCCAGGUAGUCCAAAUUUCCGGAGUCCCCCACUACGGCGUGCCUCAUAAUCAGAACUGGUUUUGGCACGUAAAACCCCAUAAUUUAAUUAAUUUAAUUUUAAUUUACUAUAGAUUUAAGAGGUUGAUCUUAAGCCUUCCUUGAGUACCUGUACACUUGGGCAAUGACAUGACUUAUAUCUUGACAAGACGGGGGUAUAAGAAACACUCCUAUUAAAAUAGUAAAGGCCUAUGCCUUCAUUGAAAACCUUUAGUCUGUCAUUGAUCAAACCAUGCACUUGUAGAAAAAAAAAAAUUUGGAAGGUGGUUCAACCUCUAGUUGACGUCGAUAAAUGACAAUAAUGUCUUUCUGCGCGAGUUUGGAGCGAGAAUGGGGUGGAGUCAAGGAAGCAAGGCACUCUAUCGCAUCACCCCUUACAUGAGGGGAGUAGGAGGAGGUUGGACUGCUUAAUUUUUUUUUACUGCUCAACCUUUGGGAUUGGCCCACAUCUUAAAGCUGCACAUACCCACAAGAACGGCCCACCUUUUUAGACUGCACUAUCUCCAAGAUCGGCCCAUGAAAGAGGCUAGAAACACGCAUACCCGAUACGAAAAAUUGGGGGUAACUCGCCAAGACAUUGCUUUUGAAAACAGAUAAAGUGAUUUCAGUGUCGCGGUGCUUCACAUUCACUUAACAGUCCUGCAAGCACACGGAGUGCAACUUUAUGCAAUGACACAAACCCACAUCAGCAUCAUCCUCUUGGCAACUAGUAUUUUAGUAUUUCAUUUUGUGUCCUAGUUUCCCAGAAAAUGGCUUCCUUGAAGAAAAUUUGAUUGGGUCUAGGAUACUAUGGUUAUUUCAUCAUCAUAUAUGGAUAGACUUAAUGCAUGAAUUGGCAGUUCUGAAAUCACUGAUUGCUAUAUUGCUAUAUAAGUGGAUUACUCCAUAUUGCAUUUGGACCAAUGGUACAUCAUAAGCUUGCAUAGUUGAGAUCCACACACCAGUUUGCAUAAAGCCUUUACAAUUUUUCUUCCUAUUAAAAGGCUUGCAAAGGCUAUAGUGUAAUAUAAAUGGCUGGUUAAAGUACUUGUAAAGUAUAGAGCUCUUAAUUACAGCAACAUUUUCACUCACAUCCAUCACACAGUCUGCCAAUAUUCAUUUUACUCUCGUAGCUUUAGAAUAGUGAAUAAUUUGCAUACUGACAAUAAUUAAGUAGUAUUUAUGUUAAUCAGCACUACAUGAAAUCAAUGGCACAAAGACGUGGACAUAAAGCAUGUACAACAGGAUGAGCACCAGCAUGACAUGCCAAUCAACUCAAAGAGAUUCUACGUGAGUUAACCAGCGCAUCAGUGAAAUGAAUAAAAUAAGCACCAGACUGAAAUAUAUAUAAAUAUAGGAUUAGCAUAGCUAGGAAUUGUUUUAUCACAAACUGUACACUGUCAAGAUACAAACAUUGUGAUUAGUUGAAAUAAAAUGAAAUGCGAUCACUCUGGGUCAGGAUAAUGUAAAACUAUUCCAAUCUGUUUUUUAUUCCAAGUCUGCUAUCAAACCUCAGUAAUAGGUUAAAUUGGCUUGGGCCCAGCUCUUAUGGGCAGAGCCUGAGCCAUUUUGACCAAUCACGGAGGGCUAAUGGCAGAUUUGGAUUAAAAACAGAUCAGAAUCAUGUUCCGUUAUACUGGCCUUGGUGAGCAUGCAGCAACUGACAGAUUACAUGCUUUGUGGCUCUUCAAUGCAAAAACGGCUAAUGGAGUCUGGAAAACGGUUUUGUUGUGGCAACACCACACAGAUGCUAUUUAAUGUUAGCUUUUCUUUCUCUCGAUCUCUUUCUUGCAAUCAGCUACUAAAAACUGUUCACUGUGAAAGUUCAUGUAGUUGAAACUAAGCCUUGUUGCUCAUGCAUACUAGGCAGCUAGGGUAUUUUCGACAUACGUGCUUGUUUCUUUGUCAAGUGUUGCUGACUGGUCUUUGCUGUAGCACAUAAAAUGGCAUUACAGCAAGCCCAAUCGCACACCUAACAAAAUCAAGAGCUGCUGUAAAAAGCAAUUUGCUGUCUCAUAAUGUCCACGUCGUGUUCUUCAAAGCUUGUUUUAGUGUCAUAUUCCAGAAAUUGUGGUGGUAAGUAUGGGCAUGGAAACUUUUCCUGAUGCAUGAGAAAAAGUGGAUUCUUGCUUUCUAUGGCAAAUUAUUUUCAGGAAGUCGAAUUGCUCAUAUGCAAAGACUUGAAGCUCUCACUAAUACUACCAGUGGAAUUUGUUCACAAACCCAUUGCUGAUGCCUAUUAGGUCUGCAAAGCAGCUUAGCAGCCUGUAUGCUGAGGAUAGCAGCUUAGCUGUAAGUUAAAUGUUGGGCAACAGUUUACAGAACAGUAUGUGUGCUGUGCAUUGCAGAGCAUGCAUCCCUUUUGGUAAAACAUAUUAAACAGUUGUUGAAUGCUGUGGCCAUAGCAAAACAUCAGCUGUGCCAUACAUUUUAAUGAUGGUCUUGAAUUCCAGCAAACAGAGCAAAACUGGCUGCCUGCCAUUUUGGUUGUGCUUCAUGUGUGACAGGUCAAACUUACAUUAUGUGUACAGACAACUGACAAAGUUUCAGAACAAACUUGAACUUUUAUUUUCUGUAAAUGAAGGUAUUGUUUGCAAUACUGGUGUGUACGUAGACUGUGACAUUGUUGUAUGAGGCAGCUUUUUUUUUUUUUUUUUCUUCAAAAGAUGGCCACAUGUAGACAACUAUGUCACUGCUUCAGACAAUUUUUAACAUUUUCUAGCUUUUGUUCAUUACAAGCUUGAGUGUUGUUGACUAUUGGUUUAUUAAGUGCUUGAAAGACAAAAAUCAUGCGUAGACUUCUUUAAAGGCAAAAAAAAAGAGUUGUUUUUGAUCAGCUGGGGGUAAGGUAGAAGUUGCUUUUGAAUAUGAAGCAAGCUUUGAGCUUUCCACAUAGAACUACACAAAACAACUAAGUUGAGAAGAUUAUUGUCAAAAGUCUGUACAAUCUAUCGUGUGACAUGCAUUCAUUAUGUGCAAAACGAAUGUCAAGAACUAAUGUUACUAACUUUUAAUUCGGCUAUAAGUUGUUGACUAAUAAGUUUGAUAGGCUAUUAAAAUGGUUAGCAGGGCAAGUCUGUAAAGAUGCAUGGUGGAAAGCAGUGCAAGAAAAAGAAGACAACAGGGUUGGGAGUUAAUAUUGUGUAGUCAAGAAAAGACAAAUGAGCGAAGAGAAUGACAAGACACAUACUAGAUUUUCAACUGGUGUAUUUUGCAUGUAGCAAGCAUAUACUAAGGAAAGAGUGAACACGUAUGCAACACCAUAGGAUGAGACAAGCGACAUGACAACAAAAGGGUUGCAGCAACUGCAGGUGUUGCCGCUGUGUGGCAUCAAGACAAGGGCAGCAACUAACGACUUGCUCACACACUGGCUUGAGGUCGCCCGACUGAUUGCGACUGGCGAUCAAAAAGCGACUGAAGGUGACCGAUCACACCGGCAUGUGUGACCGGCCUGUCAUCACACCAAAAUGUCUUGCGAUUGAUGCUGUUAAUAUCUGUUUGCCACAUAAAUUAAGCGUCAGUGUAUAUAGACAUCCUGUUCUUGCACACCUGAUUGAUUCAGAAGCAUUGCGUAUGUGGUUGUACAACUGAAAAACUGAGGAAUGGGCUACUGACUCACAACAGUCACUUUUCGAGGUAAGUGACCAUUUGCGACCAACCUGGUCGCAAGAUACUUGGUUGUGCAACCUCUUCAAGUCGCUGGUGUGAAUGAGCCCUUAAUAGCGCCAUUUUUGACGAAGAUACAUACAGGAAAAAAAGGAAAAGGGGCUGCCAAGGUUACGGGGUGAAUCACAAGGAUAGUGAAAGGAAGGUUAUUGAAUUUGAAGAUGCGUGAAGAUGUUGAAGUGGCAGUUUGGAAAGUUAAAGUGGAGCAUAUGUGCUGCAGGGUGAGUAUUUUUGCUUUACCUUUUUAGGAUUUACAAAGAUUCAUGUUCAAUUCUCUAAGCUUCAAAAACUAUCCUAGAUGAAACUGGUAAGUAAUGCCCACGAACGUGGUAUCUGACUAACCUUUACGCAACUUAGAACCUCUGUGUGAAAUCUCAGUGGAGCUCAGCCAGGGGUUUAGCAGGAACAGUCGUGUACACCUGGCACUGUUAUUGAUGCAAGACCAGUACAUCUGGCAAUUCAGCACACUGCCUAAAAGCCUUUGCUCUCAAGCCAUAGAUGCUGAUAAAACCAUUUUGCCAAUAAGAAAUUGACAAUAUGUCCUAUGAGUGUAUGUAAUGUCUUAUUGCUCUCUUUCCACUUUGCACCCAAACAUUACAUACUAAAAUGCAACAGUACAUUUUUCUUUCUUUGCAUCUUUUUACUGCUAGCAUUCUACUUGCAUAGCCAUUCUAGACUGUCUUAUUUUUUAAACCUGUGCCUUAGCUUUUUCUUCUCUCUCUAAAUUGCAACAGCAUGUGCAUUGGAGGCACGUUACAUUUUCUAUUUUUCAUCUUGUGCGGAAGUGGACCUAUGCUGAUACCUGGGGUUCUUGUGGCCAAACACAAGCCACAAAAUCUACCGUGGUUAGAGCCUACAAAAACUGUCGCUAUGCAAGUCGGAAACAUUGCAGCGCCUACCAGCACAACAGUGCUCUGGGGUGCAGCACUUCAGUAAAGCUUCUAGGUCAUUGAAUAGAGUAUGUCAUAACAUAUUGUUGAUUAAUGCUGUCGCAGCUGUGCUGCUUUGUUAUAAUUUUCUGACUGGUUCGGCAUGGUCACCACUUCAUGUCCCACAUGCCAAGCAGUGGAUUCAAGAGUUGGUUGCUGUUAUGGGUUUGCGUAAGCUAGAUGGCUAUCUUGGACUUCCAGGACAGAAUGUUGGCACAGGUUAGUGAAAAACGUCAGAUGAAAAAAAUGUACGAAAAAAUAAUACUAGAACGGCCUUCAUCAUGGUUACCGAGUUCAUGGCUACAUUAUACCGAUGCACUUCAAAACAACUUGGAAAUGCUGCAUGACUGGGUACAGAAAAAUGGUGAUAAAUCUUCAGAAACUACACUUUCUGAUGACCUUAGCAAAUAUAAGGUUUUGAUUAUUAACUGAACGUACUUCUUUUUUGUAACAAAUUUCAACAGUCGGCAAGAGACAACAUCAGUCAGCCGACAGAUGAGCUCAGCAUUUCACCUGUGCAACUUCCCUUUAAAGAAUAUAAUGUUCAAAAUUGUAAAAAAAAAUAAUAAUUUUUCUUCUGUUCAGGGUGCUUCUAGGAUGUAUAAGGAUAAGGUCUAUCAAUUACAAAAAGGCACAAGGUAUUAAGUUGCUGUAGAGCCUAUAAAGGCAACAGUUUUCUCUGUAUAAAGGUGCUACAAGAAAACCAAUUUGCUGUUAAAACUUGCAUGAGAACCUUAAAUAGGCCUUGGAAGCACUAAUAGCAAAUGAGCUUUUUUUUUUUUUUUUUGUGUGUGUCACAAGUUUAUAGCCCCCCCCCCCCCAAAAAAAAAAAAAAAAAAAAAACUAUUUGUAUUUAAAGUCAACCAAGAUUAAAAAGCCAGAAUAUGUUUGUGUUGAAACAAUAAGAGAAAUGCCAAAGUGUAAACUCAAUAAAACCACUCUUGGACUGAUCUGGAGUGUAUAGGUCUAAUAGAGGCUUUGCUUGUUAAAACAUGUUUUUGAAGUCAAGCUCGAAUGACUUGUUCGAUAAUGUGCUACACCAUUGAGCAAAGUCUAAAUAAUGGGUGCUUUGUAUCCUUUACAAGCAUCUGAUAGCAGGUGUUAGUAUGCUCACAUGGUUAUACUAUAAACUGCCAGUGAGGUGUCUGAAGUUCGAUUGAUACAUAGCACACAUCAUGGCAUUGAGCAAACUGGAAACUGCCCUGCUGCCUCGUUCUGUGAAUACCAUUGGUUUUUAAUGGCAGGUACUAAUUUUCGCAGGUGAUGCUAAUGUCAACUGCAGAUAACUUAGUCACAUUCUGUGGGUGUAACCCUCUGUUAGAGUACUAUGCAAUGUCUGUGUGCAUUUCAGCUUGAGGAAAAGCGUA